rnacentral:rRNA from 1 species
GACAGAGGGUGCAACCGUUGUUCGGAAUUACUGGGCGUAAAGCGCGUGUAGGCGGCAGCGCAAGUCGGGCGUGAAAUCCCACGGCUCAACCGUGGAAGUGCACUCGAAACUGCGCAGCUAGAGUCCUGGAGAGGAAGGUGGAAUGCUUGGUGUAGAGGUGAAAUUCGUAGAUAUCAAGCGGAACACCGGUGGCGAAGGCGGCCUUCUGGACAGUGACUGACGCUGAGAUGCGAAAGCGUGGGGAGCAAACAGG